rnacentral:lncRNA from 1 species
CGCUGCCGCGGCCGCGUGUGGGCUGGGUGGGGCCAUGUCCGAUCCCGAUCCCGAUCCCGAUCCCGAUCCUCUCUGCCGGCUCCGGCCUGGCCCGGCCCCGUCCGGUCUGCUCCCAUCUCAUUCUCACUCCGCGCAAUCUCCUGCUCAGCGCUGUCGGCACCUCGCGGCACUUGGGCUCACCGGGUCCCACUUCAGCGGCCCCUGCACCCCACAGCUGCCCAUGGGCACCCGUACCGCGAGCCGCGUACCCCCGGGGUGCCCAGCAGUGAGCCCCGAGGGCAGACAUGUCACACGCGUGUGCGCUGCGCUCGCUUGGGCUGAGCACGGGGCAGCGGGGGAAACACGCCAGGCGGAGCCCCCACCCUGCGGUGGCAGGGCUGUCCGGCAGGGGGCGGCAGCGCCCCAGCCAGGAUUCCUGGAGGGAUGACCAUACUAAAAAUGAGCAAUGUACUUCAGUUACUUAUCUCCAACAGUGACCAGAGCAAGGCAAAGUAAGAUGUAGAAAUUCAAAACUGCCAAGGAGAACUUUCUGCCUGACUUCAUGAUGUAAUGGCUAACUGCACAAAACACAAGUGUCUAUAUUCUUUGAAACAGAGAUGAGACUAGGGUUAGCAGCAGAUUUUCUCAUUAUUCCCCUUUGAGAUCUUUUUAGGGACCAACUCUGUGCCCAGUGACAGCCCCAACGCAAAAGCUCCAUUGCUAUGAACACCAACACUGAGCUGGACAAGUGCUCAGCACAAGUGGAGGCAUCAGGAUCCUGGUGAUGCGUGGUGACUGCAGACAGCAACGCACACAACAUGCAAGCUGGAGAGGGAAGCAACACAGACCUCAGUCCUCACAGAUCACAUGUAUGGGUCUGACUCUGGUUUUGGAGGAGUUGUCUGCCUCCCAGUUUCUUCAUGUAGAAGCCCCUUGAGAAGCUGGAAUGCCCUUGAGAAUGUUUAAAAAAAAUUCAGGAACUUCGUCAACAGAGCUGAUACAAAAGAUCAAGGGACUUGAUGCACCUGUGAUAAAAUACAGCAGUUGGACAAAGGAUUGAGGAUCACAGUGAUGGUUAAAUGCUGUACUUAGGUGUGCAAUGUGUUAGUUCAACAUUUCUGUGCAAUUCUAGAGCCUGCCGGAGACAUAGAUGUGGACUGGGAGACAAACCCUCCCAAACCGUGUUGAUGCAAGUUCUGGGCAAGUCUGGGGAGUCAAUGCAUUUGUGACAAGACAAAAAAGUAUAGCUUGGGACACUCUCUCUGGAGUUUGAGAAAACAAACUCUCCUUCCUAUCCAUGAAUUCAUCUCAGUGCCAUGAGUAAUUGCACAGUGAGAGGGAGGAAAGAACAUUUACACUUAUAAACAAACCUCUAUCCAGAAAUCUUUUAAGUAGAAAAAUCACCUGUAGGGAAAAUGAAACUGAAAAAAAAAAAAAGUAGCUGGAAAAAAGCAAACCAGAACUCUAAAAGGAAGGAUAUCAUAUUAAAAUCAGAAAGUUUUCCAGCUGAGAAAUAGAAAAUGGACAUUUUUCAUUAAAAACCCUGACUUUGAGGCGCUUAUUUUUUAAGUUUCUUCCUUUAAACAAAGCAUUAAAACUCUACUAAAUGAGUCCAAAAUAAAAUAAGUCUGAGUAAAGAGGAAAAGCUGGCC